GUGUGUGGUUGAUUUGUUUGAACUAUUUACUUUAUUAUUUUGUGUAAAAAUGUAAAUAUAAAAAAAAAAAUCUUUUUUCAUUAGUGACUUAAAGCAUCUCAGACGAUGGUGUCUAAUACAAAUAUAUCUCAAGUCUCAUCUAUACAGCUCAAGGCUUUUGUGUGAUAAAGUCAAAUAUUUAUAUCGAAUUUGUUUGGAGAUGGAUGAUUUUGUGAAAUAAAUUUAAAAGUGAUGUACUUUAAUAAAAAUUUGUGAAAGGCAUAUUAGUAAAUUUCAUCAUGGCAUACUCAUCUUUUGCCUAUGUGGCAGGUUGUAUGUGUGGAGGUUUGCCUAUGUGGCUUGUAUUUUUCUCAAUUGGUAUGCGUGUAUUUUGUGUGGAAGUUGUUUGUGUGGCAAAUUAUAUUUCUUUUAAACUUUUUUGAUUUGUAUUAUUUUUUUAUAAUAUCGUUUUUUGUUUUUUGUUUAAUUUGAUUUGGAUGAUAGAAGAUUGGCCCAUUACAAACCAACAUAUGAAGAUAAAAAGUGAGUUUGAUGUGAUGGCAUACAUGACCGUGAGAAUAAAAAUUGAGUUCUUAAUGGAUUUAUAAUUUUAUUUAAAGUAAGGCAAAAUAUUUAAAUUUGGGCAUUUAUUUAUGUU
rnacentral:lncRNA from 1 species